rnacentral:lncRNA from 1 species
AGAAAACAACCAACCAAACUAAGAGAUUCUUCAUUAUUAAUUAAAUCUGAUUCACCUUGUGCUUGCAGGAUCUCUUCUUCUUCUUCAUCAAGAGAUAAACCCGCAAAUUCUGAUUCCAUGGAUGUUGUACUCGAAGCCUCCGUUAAAGACAUCACUUCAAAUAAAUGGAGAUGAGCGCCGCCAGAAGAAAACCAGAAGAAAAAACUUGCCAGAGAGGCAAA